CCGGCACUCUAUCGGCUUAAAAAGGUGCGGCAGGUGGGAAUAGUAACGUCAGGAGUGUAAUCCCCCCAGCCUCGACCUGUGGAACCUGCCUUGAUACUGUUCAGUUUAGAGGUAUAAGUUGAAGUUGGCCGGAAUGUGGUCAUGUAGCGGUGGAAAUGGCUUAGAUAUGACACAAGAACACCGAUCGGGACGGCAGCUAGGCUAAGCUAUAACCUGACGGUCAUGCACGAAAGCGUGGGGAUCAAACAGGAUUAGAUAUCCCUCGCUAGUCACGCUGUAAACGAUGACUACUCGAUGUAGCCGAUACACUGUCAGCGUCUGAGCGAAAAGCAAUAAGUAAUCCACCUGGGGAGUACGAUCGCAAGAUUGAAACUCAAAGGAAAUGACGGGGGCCCGCACAAGCGGAGGAGCAUGUGGGUUUAAUACGAUGAUACGCGAGGAACGUUACCUGGGCUCGAACGUGAGAUGACUAUGGGAGAAAUCUCAUAUCUCUUCGGAGCAUUUUACGAGGUGCUGCAUGGUUGUCGUCAGCUCGUGCCGUGAGGUGUCGGGUUACGUCCCAUAACGAGCGCAACCCCUACCUUUAGUUGCCAACAGGUAAUGCUGGGGACUCUAGAGGAACUGCCUACGCAAGUAGUGAGGAAGGCGGGGAUGACGUCAAAUCAGCACGGCCCUUACGUCCAGGGCUACACACGUGCUACAAUGGCCGGUACAGAGGGCAGCUACCUGGUGACAGGAUGCAAAUCUCUAAAGCCGGUCUCAGUUCGGAUCGGAGUCUGCAACUCGACUCCGUGAAGUUGGAUUCGCUAGUAAUCGCGCAUCAGC
rnacentral:rRNA from 1 species